rnacentral:rRNA from 1 species
AACGAACGCUGGCGGCAGGCUUAACACAUGCCAGUCGAACGCCCCGCAAGGGGCGUGGCAGACGGGUGAGUAACGCGUGGGAACAUACCCUUUUCUACGGAAUAGCUCUGGGAAACUGGAAUUAAUACCGUAUACGCCCUACGGGGGAAAGAUUUAUCGGGGAAGGAUUGGCCCGCGUUGGAUUAGCUAGUUGGUGGGGUAAAGGCCUACCAAGGCGACGAUCCAUAGCUGGUCUGAGAGGAUGAUCAGCCACAUUGGGACUGAGACACGGCCCAAACUCCUACGGGAGGCAGCAGUGGGGAAUAUUGGACAAUGGGCGCAAGCCUGAUCCAGCCAUGCCGCGUGAGUGAUGAAGGCCUUAGGGUUGUAAAGCUCUUUCACCGAUGAAGAUAAUGACGGUAGUCGGAGAAGAAGCCCCGGCUAACUUCGUG